CAGAGAACAUCGCCCUCACGGGUGACUCUCCAACCCUAUGUUAUUAAAACCUUUGUUGCUUUGGCGAGCCGCUUCGGCCACCGGCCUCUGCUGGUGUGCGCUCGCCAGAGGACCCAAAACUCUGAAUUAUAGUGUUGUCUGAGUACUAUAUAAUAGUUA
rnacentral:misc_RNA from 1 species